ACACCUAUAGCUCAAUUGGAUAGAGUACUAGACUACGGAUCUGGGGGUUGUGGGUUCAAGUCCUACUAGGUGUA
rnacentral:tRNA from 2 species